UUACGGUCAAAUCACGCUGAAACACCGGUUCUCGUUCGAUCACCGAAAUUAAGCAUCGUAGAGCCAGAUCAGUACUUAGAUGGGGGACCGCUUGGGAACACCUGGUACUGUCAG
rnacentral:rRNA from 1 species